rnacentral:rRNA from 1 species
GACUCCAUGAAGCUGGAUUCGCUAGUAAUCGCGCAUCAGCCACGGCGCGGUGAAUACGUUCCCGGGCCCUUGUACACACCGCCCGUCAAGCCAUGGAAGCCGGGAGUGCCUGAAGUGCGUGACCGCAAGGAGCGUCCUAAGGCAAUACCGGUGACUGGGCUAAGUCGUAACAAGGUACC